GUGAAUCAUCGAAUUUUUGAACGCAAAUUGCACUCUCUGGUAUUCCGGAGAGUAUGCCUGUUUGAGAGUCAGUUUAAAUAAAAAUCGGUGUGGUUGCGGCCUUUUGUGGUGACGCACCGGAUGUGGGUCGUCUUGCCUUCGGUUAAGUGACCUAAAAGUUUGGAGGAUGUUUGCGAAGGUAUUUAAAUGAUUUUAGGAACGUGUGCGAUAAUGAAAACUAGGUGCGGUCAUCCUCAU
rnacentral:misc_RNA from 1 species